UAGCAUGUUUGUGCCUAAUACGUUGGAGAAAUUGUUCAGAAACAAUUCAGCCAUGUGAAAAUAUGUCCCUUGUAAUAUUGCCAAGGUCAGAAAAACCUAAGGAGAUCCGCUGAGCCAGCUUGGGGAAGAGAGGGAACAUGGCUCUUCCUACCUGUUGACAUGUCCCUGCCUGGAAAGUCCAUCUGCAAACAUGACAGUGGUAUUCACAUAUUUUUGCCUGCAAGACCAUGCUGGGUGACUGAAAGCAUGUGUGGAAUCUGGAACAUUUAUGGUGCAAACAUCAUUUCAGCAUUCUCCUACGCAAGAGAUGAUGAAACUUCCAAAGAUGAGAGCCUAUGUAAAUAUGUGUUAUCCAUCAGCUAGGCAAACAGAUGAUGGACUGCUGUUUUUAGAAGCUCCAGAUGAUGGCCAUGAUCCUGUAAUGUGAUUAUUGUGAACAGAGACAUACAUCUGCAACCCAAUUCUUGCUCUGCAGAUCCAUUGAAUAUAAAAAAGAAUAUCCAGAAUAUGAAAAAGACUACCCUCCAUAAAUUCCAGUGUCAUCUUCUCUCUUCUUAUUAAUGCUUAAUUUAAAUCUUGACAUCUAACUCUUCUUCAGCAUUCACGAUUAGAGAAAUUAAUUUAAGUUUCUUCUGAAAGCAUAUCAGCAAAUGAGCAUCAAUGCAGGUAUCUAUUUAUUCCUUCAGCAGUGAAGUUAAACAUUUUGUGCUUUUAACUGCAUGGUACAAAAUAAAGCUAUUUGCUUGAGUUAUUAAUCCAGGAUAACCUGAUAUAAUGUGAUAGUAAAAAUUCUUUUCCCAAAGAAGAAAAAUACAUGCUCUACUCAGUAUCUCCUGGUGACUCUGCUCCAAGUGAAUAAAUAUACAGCUGAAUUCUCCCAGCCAGGUGUGAUCCAGGAACAAACUGGCAGCACAUCUUUGUGUUUGCUAAUGCAAAUUCUAACUCACAGAAGUGGCCCAUCAUUAAUUCUUCAGUUAAAAAUGUUUUCUCUGUCUUCUCAAGAAUAAUAUUCUACAGAACAUGUCACAAGCUCAGAAAAAUCACCUUAAUUCUCUAAAGAAUGAGGCACAUGUCUUGCACUGAUGUACAAUGAAGUAUCACAUGCAAGACUGGUGUUUCAGGACUCAGCCACUAUAGAUUAAAUGGAAGCAAAAAAGGGAACUCUUGUUUGAAAUAGACAAUAAAUAUUCUUAAAGAC